GACGAACGCUGGCGGCGUGCUUAACACAUGCAAGUCGAACGGAAAGGCCCUGCUUUUGUGGGGUGCUCGAGUGGCGAACGGGUGAGUCACACGUGAGUAACCUGCCCUUGACUUUGGGAUACCUUCAGGAAACUGGGGCUAAUCCCGGAUAGGCGCUCCUGCUGCAUGGUGGGGGUUGGAUAGUUUCGGCGGUUGGGGAUGGACUCGCGGCUUAUCUGCUUGUUGGUGGGUUAGUGGCUUACCAAGGCGUUGACGGGUAGCCGGCCUGAGAGGGUGACCGGCAACAUUGGGACGGGAAUACGGCCAGGACUCCUACGGGAGGAAGCAGUGGGGAAUAUGGCACAAUGGGCGGAAGCCUGAUGCAGCAACGCCGCGUGCGGGAUGACGGCCUUCGGGUUGUAAACCGCUUUCGCCUGUGACGAAGCGUGAGUGACGGUAAUGGGUAAAGAAGCACCGGCUAACUACGUG
rnacentral:rRNA from 1 species